GAGUUUGAUCAUGGCUCAGGAUGAACGCUAGCGGCAGGCUUAACACAUGCAAGUCGAGGGGUAUAGUUCUUCGGAAUUAGAGACCGGCGCACGGGUGCGUAACGCGUAUGCAAUCUACCUUUCACAGAGGGAUAGCCCAGAGAAAUUUGGAUUAAUACCUCAUAGUAUAACGACUCCGCAUGGGGAUGUUAUUAAAGUCACAACGGUGAAAGAUGAGCAUGCGUCCCAUUAGCUAGUUGGUAAGGUAACGGCUUACCAAGGCUACGAUGGGUAGGGGUCCUGAGAGGGAGAUCCCCCACACUGGUACUGAGACACGGACCAGACUCCUACGGGAGGCAGCAGUGAGGAAUAUUGGACAAUGGGCGCAAGCCUGAUCCAGCCAUGCCGCGUGCAGGAUGACGGUCCUAUGGAUUGUAAACUGCUUUUGCACAGGAAGAAACAACGCUACGUGUAGCGUCUUGACGGUACUGUGAGAAUAAGGAUCGGUUAACU
rnacentral:rRNA from 1 species